GAGCAUCAACAGGACGGCUCCUUAGAAGACAAGCUUCCUUCUUGACCUUGUCAGGGGUCGCAUGACCACCUGGAUUCUGUGAACUGGCAAUAAUACGUCAUUUGAAGCACAGCCCUCUGCCUCUAAAACCCUACGUAGCUGCACCUGGACUUCUAAGCCCGGAACAGUCCUCAGAGAGUUCUGAGAUGCUCUUCCUGGGUUACAAUCCUCAAAUUUGGCUUGAAUGAGAUUUUCUGUUUCUUGCUUAGAUCGACUGAUUAAUUUCUCAAUGGCGUACCCCACGUCGCAACCAGGUCAGCGAGGUGUGAGGAGGGGAGCCCUGCGGCCUUUCCCAGGGACGCUCCUGGAGACACGGACUGCGCCGCUCCCCUAAGCCAGCGCCGGAUAAAGGGCGCGGCAGCUGGCCUCUGCAAAAAGCUGCGUCGACAGUCGUGACCACACGGGAGGGACCCAGCAGGAUGGGACUUCUGGUCCCGCCCUCGGGCAGGAGAACCCCCAGGUCUCUGAGAACUGCUUGGCCCCCUGUCCAGCUGCAUCAGAACCUUCCGGAUGCUGCCGCAGCUCCGUCCUCCUCUGCUGCCCGCUUCCGUCCAGUCCUGCCCUGCGGGGGACCCGGUGUGGCCCACCUACCCUGGGGCAUCACAUCCGUCCGAGAAGCCCACCUGUGUCCUGACCUCGCUGACGGCUGUGCUGGCCAAGGAGGGGACACCUGUGCUCGCCAUCCCAUGGUAGAAUUCUUGCAACGCGAGAGACAUGGCCACCCAGCAGAGCAGAGAGAGAAUGGUGGUGACAGAAGCCCUUUGCUCCUCCCCAAACAGGCAGGUGGUGUCAGGAGGGGAUUCCUAAAAAUGAGGUGGGAAUUGCAGCCCAGCCAGAGGGUCCCAGGGCAUGUGCGCUCCCGACAGCACUGGCCCCAGCAGCAUACACCGUCCACAACGCCUUCUCGGGUCCUGAGCCCCACCGGUCCCUGCAGGUGCACGGGCUCUGGGGAAGCGUCUGGGGCCAUGUCAGGAAGCAGCUCUGACCCCCAAACAGAUGUGAAGCUUCUGCUGGAAACCACCUGGGAACUCAGAGAACUGCCACCUUCCACAGCCCGGGAGGUGCCCGGGCCAAGCUGCCUCUUCCCGCAACAAGCAUCUUUGGGUUAAAGUCAAUUCACCUCCUUGCCUCAGCCCCCUCAGCCCUUGGGAAGGAAACAAUAAUAUUGAUCCAGCAGAUAACCGUGGGACCCCCCCCAUGCACCAUGGGACAGGCCGUCCUCCCAGCGGGAAGGGUCCAGGAGUGGGAGGCCGCGAGGCUGAGUGGUGGGGCUGGGCCCCGACUGUGUCCAGUGGGCCGUGAGGCUGGAGAACACAGAUGUGAGGAAGCUGUGAAGGAUGAGCCAGAGAAGCAGGGCUCUGAGGGGCAGAGGAAAAUGUGCCAGAACAGGAACAGGUGGGCGAAGCCUUCCAGGCAAGCAGAGCCCGAGGGGAGUGGAGGUGACUUGUGAAUCCCCCGUCGUCUCCCCUUCCGGGGCCAAAGAAGAGACACAGGGGAGCAUCAGACAGUAAGUGUGCAUGCUGGCUGGGGACAUGGUGGUGAGCGACGCCAGCGGUGGCCGGAACAGGUGUCCUUGCUGUGUGCCGGACGCAAGCCAGGUAAGCAGGCCUCGUCACCCCGUGUCACAGACGAGGGGACUGAGGCUGGCGUGGUUGGCUGGUUAGCCCGAAGCCACACAGCUGAGGUGGAGAAGCCAGGACCUGCCCGAAGCCCUCUGGUUGCACCGCUGUCGCUGCCUCCACAGGUCCGACGGACGCUUCGGGCUGUGACCGAGCCGUGCCCUGGCCAGGAAUGAAGACCCCGGUGGCCCGUGGGGUUUGGAGCGGUGUGGGCGCUGGUGCCCUGGGGGUCGCGUGGAGGAAGGACCGGGAGAAGAAGUGUUUAACCAUAUUCGUGCCGGCGGUGUGGUCUGAGCUGGGUCUCAACGGCAGGCAGACGAGGUAAAUGACGGGGUGCGAGUGUCCCCGGGCGAGAGAGGGGGACGUGUGUGGAGGGCUCGGGACAGGCCCAGGGUCCCCGAGGUGCAGCAGAGCCAGAUGGACAGCAGGAGAGGGGUGGCGUGUCCACCUGGUGGCCACAGAGGACAUGGAGCGUGGCAACGCCAGGAGGGAAGGUGUCCUGGAGGGGUGGCCACCAAGGCCUGGAGAAGCCACCCCCUGCUUCUCCAGGGAGACCUGCUGGUCAGUGACCUGUUAGGUCACCAAUGAAACACAGAGCUGGAAAAUUCAGUAAAGAAAAUUCUCCACAAAGUUUGGUUUUUAUCAAAAUGCAGUCCGGCACGCAGUGGACUAACCAGGUUCAGGGAUUUAGGCAAAGCCAGAGUGUCGUGAGCCCCUGGCUCAGUGUCCCCUCUUCAGCUGCACAGUCCUGUCCAGCCUGAGCGACGUGUCUCAUCCCGCGUCCCUGUACCCUGGGCUCACUCACCCAAUGCGCCUUCGUUCUUCUGGGGGGGAUUUGCUGGGCACCUGGGAUCUGUAUUUAAGGACAGUCCUGGCCGCUGUCCAGCACCCGCCCCCAGCUAGGAGCAGGAGGUUUGCAACGCCUCCUGCCAAACGCCUCAGGUAAGAGCGGGGACGAGGAGGAAACGCUCAGGACGCAGUGGGCACGGGAGAGGGGGCCCCAGGGUGCAGGGACCCACCGCCUCUCCCUGCACACCUCUGUCUUGGCUGCCUGCACAGCUCUGCCUGCUGUGUCUGGGGGAGCAGGACCACCGAGGCCCAUCACAGUGCACGUCCCCUUCUCAGACCCCACGAGAAACUGUGGGGACAUGUCUCUGGCCCUGUGCUGGAGAGGGUCCCACCUGGUCUCCUGAGCCCCGUCCGGUGUCAGGGAGACCCUCACUUGGCACAAUGGUGACCAGAAGCCAAAUGGCCUUGUUAUCUCGCAGU